rnacentral:tmRNA from 1 species
GGGGGUGUCAAAAUUCGACAGGAAAGCACUUUGAUAAUAGGCAAGCCGACAAUGGUUGUCAGGUCGUAAAAUCACAACCCAAAUUUAAGUGCAAACUUAAAGAGUACCCCUGCUUACGCCAUAGCUUAAGCGUGUAAGCAGCAUCUAGACAAGUCUUCUUAGGCGGAUCUGUUUUAGGUGUCAUAAUUGCCUGAGGUUUUAAAUUGGGCUGGCUUCCUAACUAAAACUAUCAACAGCCUUACUUGUUAGUCAAUCUGUCGAUGGAUAGAUUAGCAAGGAAAUUUUUCAUCGACUAAGCUUGUAGACUAUUAUCAAGAACUUUUUUGGACGAGGGUGCAAUUCCCUCCACCUCCACCA